AAAGUUACAAAGCUUUAGAAAAUAAAUUACAAAUGUGAAAUAAAUUCCAUAUCCAAAAUCACGAGUCGUGCGACCUGUUUUUACCACAAUGAUGUCGUCUUGAAUCAAAUGGGAACUCUGACUAGACUGAUUUAAUGUUAUGCGACGUCAUUCGAUUUUUAAUGACGUUAAUAGCAAUUGCAGUUCGGAUCAAAGUUCAAAUUCUUGACCAAUCAAAAGACCGGAAGGUUAUAUCCUUUAGUGGAAUAUAACAUAUAUAUCCAACAGCCAGCACAUAUAUACAAUAACCUGAGAGUGGAAUAACACAACGUAUCGUGGUAGAAUUGAAGAGCAACCGAAACUACAAACCAUUGCAGCAGCAACACAAACAGCAGGCAUUACUAGCUUAACAAAAGCAGCAAAAACAAAAGCAACAACAAAAUUAACAACAAAAGCAACAACCAAAGCAGCAGGUACAACAUGUUGGUGCUAUCUUGGAAGAUUCUCAGACAUCUUUUCUGAGAAUUCACACUUGUAAGUCCAGCAAGUGACGUCAGUAGCAUGUGACCUGUGCUUGUGUAGAGUGUACUCGUCGACGUUUCCUGACAGACUUACUACGUUUUGGGGCUCGUUUUCUUUUCAUCUCAGAUUUGGGAAGUUCUACGACUUGCUAAGCCUGAGAGACCAUGUUGAGGUUUACCUCACGUGAAGGUCAACCCACAGGAAACGACUGAAUAUAUCUUUGACCACGAGAAGGAAUCGAAUACCAUCAUUCUGUUUGGAGAGAUUCAACACAUCCGCUAAAUCGGAUUGAUAGUUCUCGUGAGGACUGGCUACUUCCACUCGUGCUCUCUUGAAAGAUCUUAACUAGUUUUUGUAAGCUAUAAUCGUCUAGGCUUUGAAUAUAUCUUCUAAUCUUGUAAAGACCCAGUGAAGUGAAGCCUUGGGAUUUCAACACUUGCUGAACUUUCGUUGGACUUUAAAAGAAAAAACUCAUCUAUACGCUUCUUCCUCGGCCAACAUUUUAAAAGACAAUGAGACAAAAUAUUUAUUAUUCAAUGUUUUAUUACAUCAUAUAAAACAAUGUGUUAUACUUAUUUAGGAAACUAGUCUUCUACACGAUUCAUGGAUUUAACGAUAUUACAAACAUGUUUUGUUUUCGUUUUUCUGUUUUGAGUUUGUUUACCCUCCAUUGGGAUUGCACAAUUGUGAUAUCCGAGAAGAGUUUAUAGCACUUCGCCGAAUAUCAGAUCGGACAGUCUCUCGACUAAAGUCUCGGAUUACCUUCAUAUCAUCCAUAUCA